rnacentral:rRNA from 1 species
UACAGAGGGUGCAAGCGUUAAUCGGAAUUACUGGGCGUAAAGCGUGCGUAGACGGUUAUGUAAGUCGGGUGUGAAAGCCCCGGGCUCAACCUGGGAAUGCCAUUCGAGACUGCAUAGCUAGGGUGCGGAAGAGGGAAGCGGAAUUUCCGGUGUAGCGGUGAAAUGCGUAGAUAUCGGAAGGAACACCAGUGGCGAAAGCGGCUUCCUGGUCCAGCACCGACGUUUAGGCACGAAAGCGUGGGGAGCAAACAGG